rnacentral:rRNA from 1 species
UACGGGAGUGGCAAGCGUUAUCCGGAAUUAUUGGGCGUAAAGCGUCCGCAGGCGGCCCUUCAAGUCUGCUGUUAAAAAGUGGAGCUUAACUCCAUCAUGGCAGUGGAAACUGAGGGGCUUGAGUGUGGUAGGGGCAGAGGGAAUUCCCGGUGUAGCGGUGAAAUGCGUAGAUAUCGGGAAGAACACCAGUGGCGAAGGCGCUCUGCUGGGCCAUCACUGACGCUCAUGGACGAAAGCCAGGGGAGCGAAAGGGAUUAGAUACCCCUGUAGUCCUGGCCGUAAACGAUGAACACUAGGUGUCGGGGGAAUCGACCCCCUCGGUGUCGUAGCCAACGCGUUAAGUGUUCCGC